rnacentral:lncRNA from 1 species
GGCUGGAGUGUCUUCAGCGCAUCGUGACCAAGCUGCAGAUGGAGGCGGGGCUGUGUGAGGAGCAGCUGAACCAGGCCGACGCCCUGCUGCAGUCGGAUGUCCGGCUGCUGGCCGCAGGCAAAGUGCCACAGCGGGCGGGGGAGGUGGAACGGGACUUGGACAAGGCGGAUAGCAUGAUCCGGCUGCUGUUCAACGACGUGCAGACCCUCAAGGAUGGACGGCACCCGCAGGGCGAGCAGAUGUACCGCAGGGUGUACCGUCUGCACGAGCGCCUGGUAGCCAUCCGCACCGAGUACAACCUACGGCUGAAGGC